AACGAGGAGGUUGCCGGCGGCGAUUCGAGAAAAGGCAGCACCGGGGAGAGGCCAUCACGCCGCCUGGAUCUGGAGGCAAGCUCCACGACGAAGGGCGCCUGCCUUUCUUCCGCCCAUGGUCUCCACCGGCUUCCCUUCCACCGCUGCCGAUCUGCUCCACGUUGGCGAGCUAUACGGAGGAGCCAACAUCCUUCGUCCUCGUCGGCGGCCGCCGUUCCGCCUUUGUCCGCAGGCGGCCUCCAGAUCGCCACCAUCGCCCACGCCUGCUGCCCUCGUCCGCCGCCCGUGGAGGACGCUGAGGAGGGGCAGAGUGAGAAUCCGGAUGCAGUAUCAAUGCAGAUGAGGAUUAUACUGACAACGAUGUACAUUGAGACCUUUAUUGUUCAGUCUAUUGGCACAAAUCCCUGUUCUUGGUGCAGGAUUGAGAUUGUUGUUCUAAUUGCUCAUGUGCACAUGGCAUGUCCUUCACUAGUUCCGCAGGUGCGGAUCAAGGACACCAAGGGAGUUUUCAUCGAUGAAUAA
rnacentral:lncRNA from 1 species